UCUUAUUUAGAGAGGUGGAGGGAAGUGCCCUAUGAAGCCCGGCAACCGUCGCAGUAUGUGAUAUGGUGCCAAUUCACGCAAAGUCAUUACUUUGGGAGAUGAGA
rnacentral:ncRNA from 1 species